rnacentral:rRNA from 1 species
GAUCCUGGCUCAGGAUGAACGCUAGCGGCAGGCUUAACACAUGCAAGUCGAGGGGCAGCGCGGGAUAGCAAUAUCCUGGCGGCGACCGGCGGAAGGGUGCGUAACGCGUGAGCGACAUGCCCGUUGCCCGGGGACAACCGGUGGAAACGCCGACUAAUCCCCGAUGGGAUAUUGUGCCGCAUGGCACGAUAUUGAAAGUUACGGCGGCGACGGAUUGGCUCGCGUCCGGUUAGCUUGUUGGCGGGGUAACGG